AAUAGAGUCAGCUAAUUCUUUAAAGCUGUUGGGUUCAUACCCCAAAAAUGAUCAUUUUCCUCUAUUU
rnacentral:tRNA from 1 species